AACCUUUGCCGCCAAGCACCAAGGAAAGGUGUGUGGGAUGCCUCUGCCCCCUGCCCCUUCUGCUCUUUUCUAAUGGCUUUUCUCCUUCAAACUGCCUUUGAUGGAAACCUCAUUUGACACAUGUUGGGCACAAAGAAAAGGAGAGAAUUCAGAGUCACCUGUAGGUCUCUUACCCUCUGGCCAUUUUUCUCUGACCUGUCAUCAAUGAAGGCCUGGGAGAUACUGUGGACUCAGAAUUAAAACAUUUUCCUUGGUUGAGGCUAAAAGGUGGGUUAAAAGUCCUGUAAUUCUUGAGAAGAAUCCCCACCAAUCAACAGAAAAUCCUCCUUCCUCCUGUCCCCACUCUCAGGACUCCCAGGGAAAAUGCAAGUUGUUGGGGUAGAAAGAUGGCAUGUUCAGCAUGACUGGCAAAAAUUUGGCCUGCCUCUGGCUCUGAUCCUGCAGAAUAACAAUUCUGUAAUAAGUAAGGCACCAAGCCAGAGAUAUUGGCCAAAGGAAUUUACAACUGGGAGUAGGGGGUGGGGUGACAUUACCAAUAGGCAACAGUCCAAGGCCUGCAAAGGACGCUGUACUGACAGAAUUCCAUCUCUCUCUGACCCACUGUUUUCUGCAAGGCAAGCACAGCAACCAUUUCAGAAGCCCUCACUCCAGACUGGGCAUACCUCUUUUCAGUUAUUCUAGCAGGAGUGGAGAAGAGGUUCUUGCAGUUGCUACCAUCUGCAGGUAGUAAUCAGAAUUUAAGAUAGUUAAGGAGAGAAUUGCUAUAUGGCAGUUGUACCUGACAGCAAUAACAUAACUUAAGCAUACCUUGAGAAUAACCCUAUGAUCUAAAAAGAAUGUGUGUUCAGAGUUCCAAACUAAGGAAUCUGGGAGUGGCCAACCUGAAAAUUCAUUUCUUAUCUAUGAGCAAAAUCUAAACCUCUAGCCCAUUCUGUGGAAGGCAGGCUGUAGAGGGGAUGGAGGCCCUUUGUUUUGGGUUAAAUGAAGGUUGCCAAGUAGAGGUUGCUAGGGGGAGGGUACUAAGUGAAAAUGCUAUAUAAACUACUUGCUUUUUUAUAAGCAGUUGUUGUUCUCCUGCCCAGGGCACUGCCAGUGGACCCCUUGUAUUAAGUCCUCUUAAUAAACCCUAUGUCUUGUUUGCCGGCUCCAGUUCCCUUCUUCGGCCUUUGAACCUGGUGCCUUCCCUACUGAAGUUAAUAGGGGGCCAGCAUGACAACCUCAUGUUACUCCUUCUGUUCCCCUCCCAGCCUUACAGGGCCUACCACAUUGUCAGCUGGUCCUUGGGCCAGUGGUGGGUAAUGUAACGAUCCUUUGUGAUACCUUCUCUGCAAUAUUCCCUGCACCGAAAAGAUUACCAGUCUCCAAAGCCGUGAUUCUGUGGUUGCUCUGAACACUCUCCAACUGUUUUCUGAAUGGCCAAAAGCUGGAACAAUAACCAAAAGAUGGAAGUGCCAUUUCCCCAACUUAUGAGGUAAUAGUCUCAUGGCAGUGACUGAUAGCUGGCUUCCCCGCACUGUCCCUGACUCUUCCUAGGCUUUCUUCCACAUAUUCUUACUUCCUUAUUGCCAACUCAUCCCCCUCAGAAGUCCAAAUGUAAUUAGAACUGUCAAGAAGGAUUCCAGAGUUCCUCGCUUUAUCCUGUGCAUCUUCGGGGCCACUGCCACUGUCAAUACGUUCCUUCUAAAGGGACAGGGGGCAGAGCUACAGGGACAUGGCACUUUCACUCCAACUCAACCUCUGUCACCCCGAUGAGCUCUCCCCAUGCUCGGGAAUCUUGGGGUCCAAGGCCUCUCUCUUCUCCAUCUCCUUGUUCCAGUUUAUAAAUUAGAUUUGCUCCCAAUUUCUUAAUUCAUGAAGUUUCCUCUGCCUAACCAUUUUCAAGGAAACUGAAUAUUUGUGUUUAUCUGUAAUCGUGUAGCAUUACCAGCUCUAUUCAAAUUUUAGUGCACAACAAAUUUUCUGCUUGUAAAAAUGACUCAUUUUCUCUAUAUUUUACUUCUGAGAUGGUAUAAUUAAAGCAGUGCUAAUUGAUCCAAUUAAAUGCUGUGUCCCCAGUAUAAACUAGGCAGGCAUGUGCAAGACUCUUUCAUAUUCUAUGUUACACAUUGUUAUAACUAUUCCCUGAUUGGGGUUAGAAAGUCUUGGCUUCUGAAUAUCAGAAAGAGAGAGAGAGAGAGAGAAAUAGCAUUUAACUAACAGUGCCAGAAAUCUGAUUCUGCCUCUAACUAGCUGUACUGUGGAACCCCAAGAAACUCACUUGGCUUCUACUGUAUCACUUGUCUCAUAUGCUAAUAGUGGCUUGUCAUCACGGAUUCCUAUGUCUUUAAUAAUCUAAUGAAAGCUAUGGACCAUCAUGAGAAAUAUUAUCAUAGCCAUAAAGUUUCCUAGACAAUUUUAGAGAAUCAUGUGCCCAAGGUUAAGAAUAUCCACACUAGAAGAUAAGGUUUAUUCUCCCCCCUCACGUUCCAUGAUAUUAAGCCUUGGUAACUGCUAUUGGAAAUGGUCUUUUGCAUUUUCUUAGUCUAUUCAUAAGGCUAGUGGCUGAGGGUGGCAAAUGAGUUGUCUUGUAUCCAAGGACACUUUGAAUGCUAUCAACUACAGUGUGAAGAGAAUGCUCAAGAUCUCUACAUAAAAUAUAAAUGUGGUUAUAACAAUGAUUCUAUUACUGAUGCGGUGGAUUUACUCAGUCUGACUGCCUUUCACACAAUAUGAAACUUUCCUGG
rnacentral:lncRNA from 1 species